GAUGAACGCUGGCGGCGUGCCUAAUACAUGCAAGUCGAGCGAACAGACGAGGAGCUUGCUCCUCUGACGUUAGCGGCGGACGGGUGAGUAACACGUGGAUAACCUACCUAUAAGACUGGGAUAACUUCGGGAAACCGGAGCUAAUACCGGAUAAUAUAUUGAACCGCAUGGUUCAAUAGUGAAAGACGGUUUUGCUGUCACUUAUAGAUGGUUCCGCGCCGCAUUAGCUAGUUGGUAAGGUAACGGCUUACCAAGGCAACGAUGCGUAGCCGACCUGAGAGGGUGAUCGGCCACACUGGAACUGAGACACGGUCCAGACUCCUACGGGAGGCAGCAGUAGGGAAUCUUCCGCAAUGGGCGAAAGCCUGACGGAGCAACGCCGCGUGAGUGAUGAAGGUCUUCGGAUCGUAAAACUCUGUUAUUAGGGAAGAACAAAUGUGUAAGUAACUAUGCACGUCUUGACGGUACCUAAUCAGAAAGCCACGGCUAACUACGUG
rnacentral:rRNA from 1 species